rnacentral:rRNA from 1 species
CUGAGCGUCAGUCUUUGUCCAGGGGGCCGCCUUCGCCACCGGUAUUCCUCCAGAUCUCUACGCAUUUCACCGCUACACCUGGAAUUCUACCCCCCUCUACAAGACUCAAGCUUGCCAGUUUCAAAUGCAGUUCCCAGGUUGAGCCCGGGGAUUUCACAUCUGACUUAACAAACCGCCUGCGUGCGCUUUACGCCCAGUAAUUCCGAUUAACGCUUGCACCCUCCGUAUUACCGCGGCUGCUGGCACGGAGUUAGCCGGUGCUUCUUCUGCGAGUAACGUCAAUCGCUAAGGUUAUUAACCUUAACGCCUUCCUCCUCGCUGAAAGUACUUUACAACCCGAAGGCCUUCUUCAUACACGCGGCAUGGCUGCAUCAGGCUUGCGCCCAUUGUGCAAUAUUCCCCACUGCUGCCUCCCGUAGGAGUCUGGACCGUGUCUCAGUUCCAGUGUGGCUGGUCAUCCUCUCAGACCAGCUAGGGAUCGUCGCCUAGGUGAGCCAUUACCCCACCUACUAGCUAAUCCCAUCUGGGCACAUCUGAUGGCAUGAGGCCCGAAGGUCCCCCACUUUGGUCUUGCGACGUUAUGCGGUAUUAGCUACCGUUUCCAGUAGUUAUCCCCCUCCAUCAGGCAGUUUCCCAGACAUUACUCACCCGUCCGCCGCUCGUCACCCGA